UACGUAGGGGGCAAGCGUUGUCCGGAUUUAUUGGGCGUAAAGAGCGUGUAGGCGGCCAAGCAGGUCCGCUGUGAAAACUCGAGGCUCAACCUCGAGACGUCGGUGGAAACCGUUUGGCUAGAGUCCGGAAGAGGAGAGUGGAAUUCCCGGUGUAGCGGUGAAAUGCGCAGAUAUCGGGAGGAACACCAGUGGCGAAGGCGGCCUUCUGGACCAAUACUGACACUUAGGUGCGAAAGCGUGGGGAGCAAACAGG
rnacentral:rRNA from 1 species